GACGAACGCUGGCGGCGUGCUUAACACAUGCAAGUCGAACGGAAAGGCCCUGCUUUUGUUGCUUGCUCGAGUGGCGAACGGGUGAGUAACACGUGAGUAACCUGCCCCUGACUUUGGGAUAACUUCAGGAAACUGGGGCUAAUACCGGAUAGGAGCUCCUGCUGCAUGGUGGGGGUUGGAAAGUUUCGGCGGUUGGGGAUGGACUCGCGGCUUAUCAGCUUGUUGGUGGGGUAGUGGCUUACCAAGGCUUUGACGGGUAGCCGGCCUGAGAGGGUGACCGGCCACAUUGGGACUGAGAUACGGCCCAGACUCCUACGGGAGGCAGCAGUGGGGAAUAUUGCACAAUGGGCGGAAGCCUGAUGAAGAAACGCCGCGUGCGGGAUGACGGCCUUCGGGUUGUAAACCGCUUUCGCAUGUGACGAAGCGUGAGUGACGGUAAUGGGUAAAGAAGCACCGGCUAACUACGUG
rnacentral:rRNA from 1 species